GAUGAACGCUGGCGGCGUGCUUAACACAUGCAAGUCGAACGGUGAAGGCGGAGCUUGCUCUGCUGGAUCAGUGGCGAACGGGUGAGUAACACGUGAGCAAUCUGCCCCUGACUAUGGGAUAAGCGCUGGAAACGGCGUCUAAUACUGGAUACGAGCUGCGAAGGCAUCUUCAGCAGCUGGAAAGAAUUUCGGUCAGGGAUGAGCUCGCGGCCUAUCAGCUUGUUGGUGAGGUACUGGCUCACCAAGGCGUCGACGGGUAGCCGGCCUGGGAGGGUGACCGGCCACACUGGGACUGAGACACGGCCCAGACUCCUACGGGAGGCAGCAGUGGGGAAUAUUGCACAAUGGGCGAAAGCCUGAUGCAGCAACGCCGCGUGAGGGACGACGGCCUUCGGGUUGUAAACCUCUUUUAGCAGGGAAGAAGCGAAAGUGACGGUACCUGCAGAAAAAGCGCCGGCUAACUACGUG
rnacentral:rRNA from 1 species